GAGUUUGAUCCUGGCUCAGGAUGAACGCUGGCGGCGUGCUUAACACAUGCAAGUCGAACGAAGCACUUUAUUUGAUUUCCUUCGGGACUGAUUAUUUUGUGACUGAGUGGCGGACGGGUGAGUAACGCGUGGGUAACCUGCCUUGUACAGGGGGAUAACAGUUGGAAACGGCUGCUAAUACCGCAUAAGCGCACGGCAUCGCAUGAUGCAGUGUGAAAAACUCCGGUGGUAUGAGAUGGACCCGCGUUGGAUUAGCUAGUUGGCAGGGUAACGGCCUACCAAGGCGACGAUCCAUAGCCGGCCUGAGAGGGUGGACGGCCACAUUGGGACUGAGACACGGCCCAGACUCCUACGGGAGGCAGCAGUGGGGAAUAUUGCACAAUGGGGGAAACCCUGAUGCAGCGACGCCGCGUGAGCGAAGAAGUAUUUCGGUAUGUAAAGCUCUAUCAGCAGGGAAGAAAAUGACGGUACCUGACUAAGAAGCCCCGGCUAACUACGUGCCAGCAGCCGCGGUAAUAC
rnacentral:rRNA from 1 species